AUUGAACGCUGGCGGCAUGCCUUACACAUGCAAGUCGAACGGCAGCACGGGUGCUUGCACCUGGUGGCGAGUGGCGAACGGGUGAGUAAUACAUCGGAACGUACCUUAUCGUGGGGGAUAACGCAGCGAAAGCUGUGCUAAUACCGCAUACGCCCUGAGGGGGAAAGCGGGGGAUCGCAAGACCUCGCGCGAUUAGAGCGGCCGAUGCCUGAUUAGCUUGUUGGUGGGGUAAAAGCCCACCAAGGCGACGAUCAGUAGCUGGUCUGAGAGGACGAUCAGCCACACUGGGACUGAGACACGGCCCAGACUCCUACGGGAGGCAGCAGUGGGGAAUUUUGGACAAUGGGGGCAACCCUGAUCCAGCAAUGCCGCGUGAGUGAAGAAGGCCUUCGGGUUGUAAAGCUCUUUUGUCAGGGAAGAAACACCGGCUCUAACACAGUCCGGGAAUGACGGUACCUGCAGAAGAAGCACCGGCUAACUACGUGCCAGCCGCCGCCGUAA
rnacentral:rRNA from 1 species